GUGGGGAAUAUUGGACAAUGGGCGAAAGCCUGAUCCAGCCAUGCCGCGUGUGUGAAGAAGGUCUUCGGAUUGUAAAGCACUUUAAGUUGGGAGGAAGGGCAGUAAGUUAAUACCUUGCUGUUUUGACGUUACCGACAGAAUAAGCACCGGCUAACUUCGUGCCAGCAGCCGCGGUAAUACGAAGGGUGCAAGCGUUAAUCGGAAUUACUGGGCGUAAAGCGCGCGUAGGUGGUUUUGUAAGUUGGAGGUGAAAUCCCCGGGCCCAACCUGGGAACUGCCUCCAAAACUGCAUGACUAGAGUACGGUAGAGGGUAGUGGAAUUUCCUGUGUAGCGGUGAAAUGCGUAGAUAUAGGAAGGAACACCAGUGGCGAAGGCGACUACCUGGACUGAUACUGACACUGAGGUGCGAAAGCGUGGGGAGCAAACAGGAUUAGAAACCCCAGUAGUCC
rnacentral:rRNA from 1 species